rnacentral:lncRNA from 1 species
AAUUCCUUGGACAUUGAGGUUGCAGGGGAGAAGGGGACUUUUGAUCUCUUAUCAUUGUGGGAGUGUCAGUACCUCAGGACCCUUCCUACCUGGUGUAUAAUUUAUUUAUCUGUUCAGUGGAAGGUCUCUUCUCAUUUACCAUUAAUUCCUGACUCUGUUUCAGAGAGCCAUGCCUUGCCUGGAGAUGUCCCUGGGGAUAGUUAUGAUGAUGUCAGAGAAGUUUCUGACCCUGAAGAUGAUCCUGGUUCGGGGCAGUGUGCCCAGGAAGUUACUUGGGCCCCUCAGGAGAGCGACAGGAAUAGGGAUUCACAGAGAGAUUGGAAUCUGCACUCCCUAAGAAAUGAAGGGGCCUCAGGGACUGAGAGAGAGAGCCCAUUCCCGCCUCCUGGAGACCCAGGUUAUGAUGACGUUGAUGUUGACAUCUCUGAGACAUCAAUAUAAGAAUGACCGAGUUCCAAUCAUAUAUCAUGCGAGGAUGUAAAUGCUGUAUGAUUAGACUCUUUCUCUCCUGAAUGCUAACUGGGCAUAGAGGCAUCAGAGAUAGUCCCUGCCAUGAAUCUAGUUCACUCACCUUUUAUAUUGGGGUUUUAUGUAGUUGAAAGAAAUAUAAGUGUGACUGAGACAGGGUCUGUGAUUUUCCCUUUAAUUUCUCUUUGAUCUGGUUGCCCGGAACUUGUCCUGCUUUUUUAUUCCUAAUAUUUUCUUCAUUGUGCAUUUUUGCUUUUUCAUACUGAAUCCUUUUUAAAAGUUUAUUCCAGGAACGAUGCUUCUCUCACAAGGUGCAUAAGGGAUCAUAAGAGAGUGAGAUGGAGUCUGAACCACAAAAAAUAAUAAUUGCAAAAUGUCACCUCUCGGUAUUGCAGAUAGUUCAAUAGGGUGCUGGAUGGAGAAUGAACGUUCUGUCCAUUGUGUGGUAAUGGUUAAAAACCCAGCAACAGAAUAAUCCUAACUCCAGAGAUGGCCCGAACUGCCAUCCAAACUCCAGACUUUCCUUUAAAAUCCAGGAGGAUAAAUGGACAUUAUUUAUAGGAACCUUAAUACACACACACAAUUAGAUAGCAGUUAAAAGAUACCCCCCUCCCAUCCUCUUCUCUUCUCUUCUGUACAAAUUCAUAUCCCAUGCCCAUUACUGUAGCAUUGGAGCAUCUUUCAGUGGUGCAUUAAGUGUAAGGUCCUUCAUCUUUGGUUUAUACUGAUUUUGUAAUGAACAUUUGCUGAGUUUUACAAAAACCGUUAUUCUGUUUUUAACAAUUUUCACCCAAAUUUUAGAUGUGCUGGAACCCCAUCUCCCUGCUCCAGGAGAAAUGGCAGCUUGGUAACCUGAAUGACCCAGGUUACCAUGCCAUCAUCUCUCUUUCCAGAGUGGGAAGCCAGAUCAAAAGCACUAGAACAACUUGAGUGGUGGUGUAUGUGCUGGUGUCAAUCCCACACCCACCACACACCACAUACAGAAUACCAGCUUUACAGAUAGUGCAGAGUGUCAUCAGCAGUCAAAGCAAAAUAAAGGUAGUUAAGAUAUGAUAAAAUGGGUGGAA